rnacentral:rRNA from 1 species
UACGUAGGGUGCAAGCGUUGUCCGGAAUUAUUGGGCGUAAAGAGCUCGUAGGCGGUCUGUUGCGUCGGCUGUGAAAACCCGGGGCUCAACUCCGGGCCUGCAGCCGAUACGGGCAGACUAGAGUUCGGCAGGGGAGACUGGAAUUCCUGGUGUAGCGGUGAAAUGCGCAGAUAUCAGGAGGAACACCGGUGGCGAAGGCGGGUCUCUGGGCCGAUACUGACGCUGAGGAGCGAAAGCUAGGGGAGCGAAUGGG